GAGUGACAUGUGGAACUGAUUCUCUUUCCUGCUCUUCUCUGCAACAUAGGAGUGAGCAGCCUCCCUUGUUGGAGGUAGAUGUACCAGAUGGACACGUGCCUGUAAUCUUGCCUGGAAGGAAGGAGGUGUGAAGGUGCCUUGGGACCUCUCUUAAUCUGGGAGGACCGGGAAGCAGGCUUGGCUUGUUAAGCUUGGAGAAGAGAAGGCUCCAGGGAGAUCUUAUUGUGGCUUGAAGAGAGCACAUAAACAGGUUGUUCUCAAGAGAAGAAAGAGGAAGGAGGAUGAGAUGUAGCCGUGGUUGGAAGAGAGCAAGGGAGAGAGGAUUGAACAUCCAGAGCAAGUUCAUUGGACAUACCAGAAGAAGAAGAGCAGAGGAGCUGCACUGGGACCUCCAGGCUCUCAUCCUCACAUUCAAAACUUCUGUCUAAACAAGGCUUGGUGGCUUUUCCAUGUUCCUGCUAACAGGAUGAGCACUUAGAUCCACAGUGUUGUAUAAUUACUGGUGUACUUUUCCGCUAUCUUCACUGUUUGUAUUCUCACUAUACUAUGAUUGCUGUAGCUUUUGGGUGUAGAAAAAUACACCUUUAUGCUAGACAUUUAAAAAAACAAUGGCCCAUAGAGCUUAGAUCCCAUGGAGAUACCUAUUUCCUCACAAGGAUGGGCAAGCAGAGGAAGAUCUUGCUCACGGGAAGUGUGCAGUCUCCAUAUUUGUAGGCUUUCAGACUAGACUGAAAAUGCCAUGAGCAGCCUGGCCGGGUAGCAUAGCUGCCCUUCUUGAGCAAGUGGUAAGACUAGAGGCCUCCUGGGUUCCUUACAGACUGAAUUGUCCUAUGAACUUGAUCUGCUUUUUCCAGUUUUUGUGUUAAAAACAGACUGCUCCCUCUAAUCUGUGGGCAGAUACCAGCUAAGUUGUUGAUGGCAUUUUCUCUUGUUCUGGAACUUCUGAAGGAUGCUGUUAUUGUGGGGAUGUAGACAGUCUGGUUUUCUUCUCACCUGCAUUUUAGUGACCAGGGCAAGUCAGGUGUAAUUGUUCCUAUUUGUUUUUAGUAUUGUUUGUUAGUAGCCUAGCACUUUUUCCUUAAGGUCAGUUAAGUCAGUUCUCACUGAUCAAUCACACUUCCAAUGGUGGUUGAAUACAGCAAUGCAUGUUUUGUUUUGUGUUUUUCCUCUGCUGAUAAGUAUGUUUUUGCAUAGCCUUUUCUGUUUUUCUUAAUGCCCUGGCUUUCCUUCCUCAGAGAUGUGUACUUUCUCCUCACCCUUCCUCCUUCUUCCCUUCCCUUCUCUGAAUACCUUCAGUGCCAGGAUGACAGCUCUAAGGCUGCUGUCAUUCCCCUGGGUGUUUCAAACCAAGUACUUUAAUCAGAGUAUGAUGCCAUUGUGUGAGCAAAAAUUAUAUUGAUGGUGUUUGCGAAUAUACUAUUUUUUAAAUGAAAAUGUUAAAAAUAAAUCUUUUAGGGGAAUUUUACAUAUUAAUACUCAGUGGUUUGAAUGUGUGGUAAUACUUUUUGCAUUUAGAAUGCUUAAUUGUGAAAGAUUAUGUGGAUAAAGAUCUAUAAUUAACUGAUAAACAUUAGAACAUUAACUGAUAAAGAUUUAUAAGACUGCUGAGGAAAAUUAUAAGAGUUUUCCCUCUCCAGUGCACUCUUUUAAGGAGUGAUAAAGGAGGAAACAUAGGAAUAUGGCCUUCAGUAUGGCUUAAAUAUAGCUUGCUUUAUUGCACCAUUGCUGAAUUAAGGAAAUUGAAGUUGACACACAUUUAUUUAUUUAUUUGUUUGUUUGUUUGUUUGUUUGAGAAAGGCAGAUAGAGAGAAGUUGAUUUCAGUCUAACUGUAAUGCUCUGUUUUCUAGGAGACUAUUUUGGGCUAAGAACUGCAGUAAUAAAGAAUCAAAGCGGAUGGUAUUCCUUCUGUAUUUUUCAUCCAGAACUGAAUAGAAACUAUACCUUGCAUAAUAAAAUAUCAGAUAUGUGACAAGAACAACACUGAUUUUACAGAGUGGGUAAAUGAAUUUUCCUACCUUUCUACAUUUUUCAAAAGCAGAACUAGAAGUAGAUCCAAAUCCAUCUACUGUUGGGAAUGCAGAAGAAAUACCUCCCUUGACUUUGCCUCUGGGACUGGUCUAUUGAUUUCAGAACUUCACUUCUGCUCAUCUCAGCCUGGGCCCACCACACCUUGCUGCCAGUCUGCUGGAGAGACUACAGCCUUGUUUGUUGCUAUGUUUGCCCUCCGUGGCACGCUGAAAUUUCCCUAUUAUUGUGCCAAUGUCAAAUCCAGCCUGCUUCUUAAAUCCAUCUUGUAUGCAACUAGUUUCCACAACUGAUGUUUUCCUUUUCUGAGCUUUUAUUCAAUGCUUCACACUAUGGCUAAAUCAGGUGCCUUGAUGUAAUGCUCCCGCAGAACAGUACUAAGACUUAAUGAUCAGCACAGUCCUAAUGAUGUUGCUCCUUUUGCCUCUUUGCCCUGUUUAUGUGCAACAUAGAACCUAUUUAUGAUCAUUUCUGCCAGCUGAAAGAUAUAGUGAUUAUUAGUAAUGUAUAGGAUGUUUACUAGGUUUUUCUUAACAGCUGUGUCUUUUGCUAUGAUGGGGUGCUUUUGAGUCAAGACUUUUGCAUUCAUUUAGGUGAGUUCGUUGUCUUUCAUUUGCUAUAUCUCAAAAAUAAAUUUGCACCUCAGUACUUCCAAAUACAGACCUGUCAGCCUUGAAUCAACUACACUGCAUUUGGAAGGUCAGUGCAAACCCCAGAGGCUUGAGCAUUUUCUCAGGAGAGAGGGCCCCGCAACACUGCUUCUGUGGUUUGUGGGAAUUGGGUCUCUGUUGUUAGCAAAGAGCCAGUGUGCUUUUCAGCAUGCCAGGAGGUAUUGUUGACAGUUCUUUAUUCUCCCAGUAGGUGAGAUCAAGCACCAGGUAGGUACAGCUCUCAAUGGGCCAACAGCUAUCAUCAUCCUCACUAGUUCCCUACUCAGGAGAUCAGGCUGUCUGCCUGCAUUGCAGCAGGGCCACGAGUUGGUGGAUAUCAGACCUCCUCAAAAGCAUCUCUGGUGACUUCACUUCUGUGAUGCUGGUCUUUCUGAUCGUCUGCAAGGAUAGGAGCCUUUCCUACACAAACAGAAUGAAUAGAGGUAAGAUUAUCCUGUGACUGUAUCAGAACUAGUCAUUACUGGAGUCCCAGUGUACAUGAACAUACAAUUUGGAUACUUGUACCCCAGAAUUUUGGCUCUCUUUAUGUGAAGAACUCAAUCUCCUUUCAGUUGUUUCCUCUCCCUCCUUCCCCCCCCAAUAUAAUAAAAAACUUCCUUGACAUGAAACAUUGUGGCAUGAAAGAUUUCAUCUGAUUUCACCUAGAAACAAUUUUUAAAAAAUUUUUAGUAACUGGAUGAUGAUCUUUCUUCGGAAAUCAUGUCCAAGGCUGACAGCUUUGUUGUCUUUGAUCUCCCUACCAAUGCUUUGACACUGAGACCUAUUUGAGGACGCUCAACUUUAGCUUCCCCUGACUCCACAGGCUCAAGUCACUUCAGCUGGAGAAAUGGCUUUAGGAGAUGUUGGUUCAAAAAAGAGAAAAGAUCAGUCAUACUGCUCUGCUAAUUACAUUGGCCAUAUUAAUGGCACAGACUGCUCAUUUUCAGGCACUGUUGGAAAGAUUACCCAGAGAGACGUUAUUCUCUCGGUACAGUGUCAGAUGUCACCCUGUAGGAUAUUAAAACCAAGUCAAGAUUGUGUUGAAAAAUAUUGUUUUUGUCUGUCCAGUAACACAUGCGACACUAGAUUGCAGUAAAAAGAAAUUUCUUCUUUGCUGAAGAAAUGUUAAUGUGGGCUGCCAAAUGGGAGAGAUUUUCCAUAGUUCACUGUUAGUGUAAGACCUCAGCUCUCACGGAUUAUGCUGUCUUCUAAUGAACAAUUCCUUAAUGAGAGCAGAGAAUCGGAGUUUCACAUUUGAUGA